ACGGAGGGAGCUAGCGUUGUUCGGAAUUACUGGGCGUAAAGAGUACGUAGGCGGUUAUUCAAGUCAGAGGUGAAAGCCCGGGGCUCAACCCCGGAACUGCCUUUGAAACUAGAUAACUAGAGUCUUGGAGAGGUUAGUGGAAUUCCGAGUGUAGAGGUGAAAUUCGUAGAUAUUCGGAAGAACACCAGUGGCGAAGGCGACUAACUGGACAAGUACUGACGCUGAGGUACGAAAGCGUGGGGAGCAAACAGGAUUAGAUACCCUGGUAGUCCACGCCGUAAACGAUGAUAACUAGUUGUUCGGUCACUUGGUGACUGAGUGACGCAGCUAACGCAUUAAGUUAUCCGCCUGGGGAGUACGGUCGCAAGAUUA
rnacentral:rRNA from 1 species